rnacentral:lncRNA from 1 species
GGUGGAAUCGACGGGGGGCGACCGCCGCGCCGGCUGGGGAUAAUCCGCGCCCAUGCAAUUUGAGGCCAUUACACCUCACCCUCUCAUCACUCUCUCUCCAUCCGACGCCGAGGUCGCGACACACCUGAGCAGGGAGCGCGUGCCAGUGCCACCACCCAUGGCGAGCACCAACAUGGCCUCGGCCACCUCGCGGUUCAUGCUGGCUGCCGGCGUGCCCGCCACCGGCAUCAGCGGCAACGGCAGCGGCCGCGUCAGCUUCGCGCCGGUACCAAACAGGCUGGGCAGGAGGCUCGUGGUGCGGGCCGAGGAGGAGGCCGCGGCACCGGCCGAGCCCGCGGCGGAAGGGGAGGGCGCCGUGGCCACCAAGACCAAGGCCGAGAAGCCGCCGCCGAUCGGGCCCAAGAGGGGCGCCAAGGUUAAUUAUAUUAGUACCAUCAUCCGUGUGCUCAACUGCUGGUGAUGCAAUCCAUUGCUUAAUCUCACUCACUCUCCAAUUCUUGUGCUGAUCGCCAGGUGAAGAUCCUGAGGAGGGAGUCCUACUGGUACAACGGGAUUGGCAACGUCGUCACAGUUGAUCAGGUUACUAUUCUUACACCACCCGAAUCAAAGGCCCCUCAGUAGACUACAAGCUAAGAGUGUCAUCGGAAAUUCUAUAGCAUAGGGACUAAACUCAUUACACUCCUAGAAUAACUCUGUUUCAGCUGUUCAAUUCUUGUAGCAAUGAACCCAGAAAAGGCGAUAAAAUUGAGCAUUUGAUUCGUUUGUGCAGGACCCCAACACCCGCUACCCGGUGGUUGUGCGGUUCAACAAGGUGAACUACGCCGGCGUGUCCACCAACAACUACGCCCUGGACGAGAUCCAGGAGGUGAAAUGAGAGAGGCUGGCUCAAGGGCCUCCGUGCUCCCCUGUGGUUGGUAGUUGCGAAAUGAGGGAUGUGAAGCUGCUGUGGUAGCGUCACAACAUCUUGUGUGUGAUAGCUUAAUCUCUGUAAUCAUUAUGUAAUUGCUUUGCUGCUUGCUUCACCGUGGACUAAAUAAUCUCCUGCCCUUAAAUUGUUGUAUUCUUUUCUUGUCAUUUUGUACAUGCUCAUAAACCUCUUCCCUAUAGCACCGUUUGCACGAUGCUGGAAACUCAAUUCAUAGUAGCUGUAAGGGUUCGUACACCAUCUCAGGCUUUGGCUUUGGUAGAGCUUGGUGACCAGCGUUCAGUAUUAAAGACCAUGGUACAAAUUGAGCGAUAUUACAACACCACCAAAUUACUCCUCCAGUUUUUACAUCUGCUAGUUUCAGCUUUCACAUAGCAAUAAAAAAAAAUAUAGCAACCUACUCUAAGAUGUGUGUGACAGCAUUAAUUACUGCCUUCUGGAACAGGUCAAGCCCGAGACUUGAAAAUUUUCAAAUGCUGCCAAACCACUAACAUUGAGUUUGAGGUAGUUCAGAGUGUUCUUCACAAGUUCCUGUUACACCUGCCAGAAUGUUCAGACUCUGAAGACCCUGCCCCUCAUGGAUGUCUCUCUUCAAAAGUAGGCAUAAACAAAGAUCCGCCACUCAUCCGAAUCAAAACUGCUAUCAAAACUGAAAGCUUCACACAUGCGCACUGAUCCAUUGGUAACGUUAUCCAGACUAAAGUUAGGGACUUCAUACCAGAAAUUAGCAAUCGUCGCUAUACCCGAGGCCCAUAGACAGCCUACAAGUCAUUGCCUGGUCAAAUCAUGUAUCAUCCUUGCUGGAAUGCUUAGUCGCAAUAUAGUCUAAUCACGGAGUCAGCACCAGCAGUGAACAACCAAGGCUGUUUUGGAUGGAACUUGCAGUCUAAAACCCCUGCAAACCCAGAAAAGUGGUCAAAUAUUGCCUUUGAGAUAUCUGGAGAGCAACAUAGCGAACCUGUAUCAAUGUAUAAAUCAGAACCUAACAAAAUAUCUCUAUUCCACAAAAAUUUAGUAAGUUCACGGUUUGUCAUGCCGUGCAUGUCGUCUUUGCACUCAGAGUGAUGCACCCUCCCCCCUACCCACAAGAAAACUAAUGGCGCUCGAUCCAAUUGACAAAGAUUAGUAACAGAUGCAACUAUUUUAAUCUAACAAGAAUUACAACUAUAUUAAUUCUACAAGUUUCCCUACAAAACAGAACCAUAUGUAAUGCAGUAGCCUCAUAGCUGGGUUUAAGACCAGUAUCUGAACUGCAGCAAUGAAGACGAGAAAAAAUCUACGCAUGUGAACAAAAAUCUAGAUGAAAAGAUUGAAAAUUAUUGAACCAAUGGCAUGCAUACCUCUUCCAUCUGAACUAGAAUGGCCACGAAGAAUUUCCAAUGGUACAAUAAGUGGGUUCUGGUUAAGAUCAGAAUAGACCAUUCCAUGACAUACAUAGGCAGUACAAUCCUCGGAGGAUGAGGCAAAAAGAGGGUACUUUCUGUGAAAAGUAACACUCGUAAUAUCCUUCGAGUGGGUCCUGAAAAUUAGCAAAUAAGUUACCGGAAUUUCUAAAUGAAAAAAGCAGCAACAGCAUCAAAGACAAGAUUGCCAAAUAGAACUGUGGAAAUUUUACAUCAAAAGAGAUUACUUUGACCUUCACGAUGCAGUGGACAAAUAAAAGAUGUUGAUUGACAAUUGUAAGAGUGCAAGCAGUAACCACACCAUCCAGGCAGCAAAACACCAUGUUUUACCAACAUUGCAACAGAUUUAUCAAUAUAUUUGGACAGAGGAAAUCAGGAUCACCACACAUCCACAUGGGCAAUCUACACUUAUUUAAAGGACGUGGAACACAUGAAAAUCAGCUUAUAAGAUGCAUCUCAAUAUUCAUUUCCAUUAUUUUUCCAGGAAAAUGGAAUUCCAGCAUCCAUACCCAUAGGAAGGUUCAUAUACCAUGCAAAGAAUUUAAGAGUGCCUAUAUUGGUAACCUUGGCUGCAUAUAGAGAUCUUGAAAAAUUACAUCUUUUUCUUUCAAAGAAAGGGGAUUAAAAAGAGAAGAAUCAUACUUUAGAGUCUUGUAUGGUCGUGUAGAUAGGUCAGUAUCAAACCAGCAUAGUUUGCCAUCUUUGCUUCCCACAAUAACAUUAUCACCUACAAAAAAGAAAUGUGAAGUAAUCACAAUACUUAUAGAGUCAAAUUAAUAUUAACCUACCAACAGGUACAAUCAGUUCGAAGCAAGUCCUUGGAAAAAAUUCAAAAUUCAAAAAAAUUACUAUCAAGCUGACUUGUGACCUACCACCAGGAUGGAUCGAGAUAGAGGAAAUCUCACGAAGACCUGACUCCAGUUUCUUUACCAACUGUGCCUUUUGGAGAUCAUAAACCUGAAUGAACUUCUUAGUAGCAACAAAGAACAUCUUCUCACUUGGAUGGAAUGUUGCCGCAACAGGAAGGCCUGGCAGUUUACGGAAAGGAUGGUGCGAGUGCUUUUUCGAGAGCUGAUGCAACAAUACAGCUUUUGUAUUGCGUACAAAGGAAUUAAGGUGUACAACUGGAUGGGUAAAUUAAAGGUGCCAUAUCAUUGGCCCACAACAUUCAAUGUGACCAUGCAUGUGAACAUAACUAAAAGUACAUAGAGAGGGGCCACACUUAGAAAGAAAAAUAAAACCAGAACAUAUGGAAAUAAAACAAAAUCAAUAAACAUGAUUCAUAAAGGAUAUCACUAGGCACAACUGUGGUAAAGUAAUCUCCCUUAAAAUGCCAGUCCACAUUUGACACAGCCUAAACAAGAAAUAGAUUCGUAAGCAAGCAAAACAAGAUAUUAAGUUCAAAGGGAAACGAAAUUUAAGUAAAAAUCUGGUACGAGACCUUAUGAUGAAUCAAGGUGAUUCCAUCCAGUUUUUCGUGCUUCAUCCACCUCACAGCUGGUUUCUUACCAUCUGCAAUAUAAUAAUAUAAUAGUGUUUCAGAAGACGGAAAAAGGCUAUACAAAGGAACCAUUGAUUGUCUAACAAUUCAACGCACCAGUAUCAUCUUGAGGAACCAUUUCGCCAAUUUGCAGGAGCUCUUUUGCCCUAAUUUGCACUUCUUCACUCCCCACCCCAGCAUUAAUAAGUAGCAGGUCAUGUUCUCUGCGCCAAAUAAAAUGAGUGACAAGAAUAAUUAAAGCUUACAGAUAGGAAAUAUGCUAGAAUAUCAAAAUGCUUACACAAUAGCAGCAAGAAUAGGCCUGUCAGGUGCAGGAUUCCAGGCAAUAUGACAGACAUCACCUCCGACAUUCCAAACUUUAAGACAGCGACCAGUUUCAACCUCCCAAACACGAAUUGUACCAUCGGAAGAACCUUCAGAAAAGGAGUAAUUGUCACUUGACGUUGGCACACUCAGGUUUAUGAAAUGAUCUUCUAAAGCAGAGAAACAGGCCCGCGGCAAUUAACCCUAUAUGCCACAGCUUACCCAAUAUUCCAUGUGUACCCAAGCACAGCCCUCGAUUUUAGGGGCAUCUUAGCAAUUGUAGUCAUUUUUCAAAAGCAGCUUUGAUUUACUAGUUUUUGCAUAUCAUACUAAUAAAAUUUAUCCCCCAUAUAAGAACUAUCUGACUUGAUUAAGAACACAGGUUUUGUUUAGUAGUUAGAUUAUGAGAAGUUUCACAUCCAUUCCCAUGUGAAUUCAGUAACAGAUGAUCUCCACUCCUUUCUAUAUAAAAGAUAAAUUAGAUCUAGAUUUCCCUCCCAACCAAGCUGACCUAAAUUCUGAACUUUUUUUUAUGUUACAAUGAGGAAACAACUAUAAAACUAUUACUUUUGCGAAAGAAAUAGUGAGAUGUAGCUAGUGCUGCUAUUUUUAAGUGACGAAUUGAAAUAUGGAAGAAAAAAAUACUAUGCAGCGCAUUAGCUAAUAUCAACUCAAUUGAGUAUCAGACCAUUAUGUGCAUGUAUAAUCAGAUAAAUACAGAAAACAACAUUAUAAAAAAAUAUAGAAAAAUAUCAACAGUACAUACCAGAUGCAAGCCACUGCCCAGUCAUUUCAACUGAAACUGAUUUCACAGGACCCUCAUGGCCCUUGAACUCAAGGUAACAAGUUUUUGGGUAUGGCCUCAAAUCCUUUUUACUUGGUAACUUGGGCUUGAGUGACUCAGGAUCAAUAUUUAUCUAUGGAGUUGUCAAAUAAUUGGCCCAAAUUAGAGACAAAUAGUGUCUUUCAAAGAAAUAGGUGGUAUGAAAAUAACAUAUGAGGCUCUACUUACACGCUUUUUGCGGGUUCUAGGGCAUAGAUACAGAUCUAGACAUCGAUCAAAACCUUCCCUCAGUGCCUUCUCAUAUGCAGGUACACUUCGAAGGGACUCAAAUCUGGUGAAGUACACAACUUAAAUGUCAAAAUAAUUUAGACAAUACAAGACAAUGGACAAGGAAAAGGAACAAUGUCAAAUAUAAUACCGUUUUGGAAUAAACUUUGGACGAUCCUCCUCAUACAUAAGCUGGUAUGAAUCUAUUUCCUCUUGCGUGGGAAUGUAUUCAACAGAAGGAUUAUAUGACUCUUCAUGACCUGAAUACACCAUGAAGAAUGAAUAGAAAUUUAAAAACAUAUACAAACACUCAGUGAAAAUAUGUUCUAACAAUUUAUGAAUGAUUAUUAUAGAAGUGACUAAUUCUGAAAAAGGGUAUGACAAAAUACCUGGUAAAUUAGGUUUAGGAGCUGGAAUGUAGCUCAAGCCUUGCCGCUUAUUAUCUGCUGUAUCAGUUUCAUCUCCCCACAAUAGAUAUAAGUUAGUUUCCUCCUUUGGCUUAUCAAACUUUAUCCAUCCAUUACGAAUGGCUCUUACAAGUUUAACAACCUGCCACCAGAACACAUGAGCUCAAAUUUCUGAGGGAAGGUGCAAAUGACUUCAGAUGCAAUACACAGUUCAAGAGAGAAUAUCCAAAAUAAGUCAACACAAAAUUUGUCCUGUUCAAACAAAAAAGAAGCUACACAACAGAAUAACAGUAAGUUAUGUCAGUUCACAAAUUCACUAGUGAAUCAUCACUCAAUCACAACACUAGUGAAUGCAUAACUCAGUCAUAAUACUAUUAACUGUUACUUCCUAAAUAUGUGGUAUUUUCAAAGAUGGGAGGCCCUAGCUGGUCUCCAGCAUGUCAUGUCGAAAGGAAUUGAUCCCAAACAAUCAGGCUCAACUCUAACUAAAUUAGAUACUGCUGUUGAUAUUAGAAGAUAAGAUUACAAUUAAGAAUGGACAAUGAAAUGAUCCAGUUCCACCCCUCACUAGCCAUCUAUUUCAUGGGUUUUCAACCAUUAAUAGUCUACCCUCUCAUCCCUAGCCGCCGCCACCACCUGGAAGCCUGUCAGGUGGUGUUUAUCCUGUUAGAUCCAAGGAUUAAUAAAGGCUGCCAGCUAACAAGCAGAUGCUUAGGCACUGCCUAGGCAACCAAAUACCUUCCAGGCGACAGGGAGUGAUGUCAUGUGUGACUAUAUUCUUUUAAAUUUUUUCUUUGUGUAAUUCUAUGCUAUUAAUAGACUUGGACCACCGGCAAGACAUGCGGAUUACCCCCAUAAUCAGUGUGGCAGGAAAUCAGAUUCACCAAGUGCCUAACCACUGCAUAGGCAAUUUUUAUUUUAUCAGCUAGGUGCCGAACGUUUGAAAUGCUGGAAUAAAAAAAUUUGGUAUUUAACGAAUUUGAUAUUUAACUCAUGACUAUUCAUUAGAUCAUGCUCAAUGGGGUCAAUUAUUUCAAUGAAUCAGUAUAUAGAGAUCUGGAAAGAACUCAGUACUAGAACAUUCAUCCAAGCUGUCAGAUCAAUAAAAAAUGAUCUAAUAUAACAGAAGGGAGAUGAAAUGCACAAUAUACCUUCUUCUGCUCCCACUUUGAAGGCACGAACCGCCUCUUUGGCUCAGGGGCACUAGAAAGCGGAUGACCUUUAUCCUCGUAUUCAAACCAAUCAACAUAAUCCUAACAAAUAAAAGUCAGUCAGUAUGUUGCAUCCAUGUAUUAUAAACAUAUGGACUGGAAAAAAAGGAAACCAGUGAACUGUAAAAGAACAAUUCAUUUGCAUGAAUCUGGACAGAAUUCAUUGCCACCAUGGAUAACAAAUUCAAAAUCAUGUAUAUCUGUACAGGUUAUUAUCAGCGAAACUAAGGUUAUUAUCAGAGGAAAAAAAGUUAUGCACUGGCCAUAUGUCAGCAAAGAAUCAGCCAGCAUUUUCGCAUAGUACUUAAGCUAAUAGCAGAUUGAGUUCUCAUUAAAGUUUUAAUGAAAUCACUUGCAUGUCUUUUCAGUCACCCACAAAGAUAAUAUUAGGCCACUUGAUCAUUUAUUUAACAUAUACACUUAGCACCUUGAUUAAAUAUAUAAUAGAUAAGGAUUGGAGUACACACUGGAUAUGGAUCAACAUUGGCAUGUGGAGUCCUUCCCUUUAAUAAUCUACUAAUUAUCUUAGCCUCUUCCUUUGUAAUCUGAACCUCCUCAUCAUUAUACUCAUCAUAGAUCUUUCUCCUACAUUUGGUGGGGAAUAAAAGAAAUUAUGAGGUUAAUUAAAUGAGCAAAAAAAAAAUCCAAAUGGUACAAGGUGUAAAGAUACAGAAAUGGUACAGGGUAAAACAACCAGAUACAUCUGUUAGGCAGAGGGAGAUACAAAUUUUCCAUAUUUUAAUAGUUAUGGUUUCAAGAGGUCCAAGCAUAUUCUGAAAGAAACCUAGAUUGUGUAUAGUCUUGAGCACUGAAUCAAAAUGAUUGUAAUAAAUUUGCUUAUUGCAUGUUCUUAGAAAAAACUAUAAAUGUACAGAAAUGACAUACAGCUAGAUUGAAUGAAAAUGAAUUUCAAGUUGCAAGAUUUAUAGAUGUACAGAAACGUCAGGUAACUAAGCCUUGUUGAUAGCAUUUUUUUUUCCACGAAUAUGCAGAAGAUCCACACAUCAUUGCAUUAAGUGAGAAGAAAGCCGAACAAAGUCUCACCAAGAACAUCGACCAACAACAGCGACCUUACACAAACAAAAACAAACAAGCAGGCAAUGUAUUACACAACCAAACAUACUGUUGAUAGAAAUGGAAAGCCCAAAGUUUUAUAUCAGGAUAAAAGUUUAAGGUAUGGUUCUUGGAACCCCCACACAGGAUGGACCUACAAACAUGUAGUAACUCUUUGGCUUUCAUCCUCGCUUCACCCCAAACGAUCAACCUAGAGCUGCUACAUUUUGAUGUUAAGUUUAUAUUCUCUAUUGCUCUACACGUCAAUACGUCAUAAAGCCUCAAUGGAUCUAAUCCCACUACUAAAACAUUUAGGCCACACAAACCACCGUAACUGGGCUGGGGUGCAAACAAGGAUAACCACUGAAAAUAUCAUAUAGAGUCCACUAUAAGGGUAAACAGAAUCUUUGGUAGAUGUCGCCUUCGAACAAACAAAGAUGAGAGCGGCACAAGUUAUUACCCCAACUAUCACAAUUAAUUUGAUGAAACCAGUUGUAGCUAGAUAAAAAACAAUCUUUAAUGUGGGAACUCUCAUGUAUAAGCCUAUAGAUGUUUUAAGUCUGCAGUCUCCAAGAACACAAUGUUGGCCAUAAAUUGUAAAUCCUAACACACUACAAAUACAAGGGAGCAAUUAGCUCGGCGAGACUCAAGAUGUGUAAAUUAGAAAAUAGCUUCCAACGUGAGCUUGAUAAGUUCCAGGGCAACUUGUCUGUGAUACGCUGAUGUUAUUUUUCACCUUACAAAAUUCCUGUGGGGUUACCAACCACUGAGCAAAUCAUCCCAAACAAUAAAUCUGUGGCAAUAUAAACAUGCACCAUUGCCAUGGGACCAUUAUCAAGCUUAAUCAUUCACCCAUUCAAUAGUUGUUCAAAUUGAUGAAAGCUGAUUGAGUGACUGCUACAGAGCAAGCUCAAGCUUUACCAAUUCUUAGCGUCAUCCGCGUUCCUGAGGUAGGCUUCGAUGCGGCCCUCCCUAUCGCGCUUCUUGAUCUUCCUCCCAUCAAUGUCGUACCCAAUGUGCUCCUCGUCCUUGUACCACUCCAGAGGCACGUCCCCCACGGUGUUCCUUGGCGCCACCUGCAAACAACAGUAACACGUACUCAGGCAAGCAAUACGGAGCAACGAUUCGCGGCUUAAGCAACUCAAAAACAGUAACAACAAGCUCAUUUUAACCUCAAAUACUCAAGCGAGCAACACGGAGAAACAAACCAGUCUGCGAAUCAGCAGCUUAACAACUCAAACACUGAGAAAGCGAAUGGCUCACCUCAUCCUCCGACGAGUCGCUCUCUUCUGCCACCGCCUCGUCGGACUCGGCGUCGGACCCGGAGCCCUCGCCGCUGUCCUCGAACGACACCGAGUCCUGCAACCCACGCCACAAAACCCUCAAAAUUUGCUCAAAAUUAGAACGCCGCAAGGGAAAAAAAUCGGGGACAAAGGCAUCAGAAACUCUCUCACCUCGCCGUCGUCCUCGGACCAGACGCCGUCGCUCCAGGAAGAGUCGUCGGCAGAUAGGUCAUCGCCCUCGUGCUCGUGCUCCCUCUCGUUGUGGCCCAUUUUCGUCGCCGGAAGGCUUCACGUGCUGUGGCGUCGUGGGAGAGGAGGCGAGGCGGAGGUGGAGGCGGCGGCGGGUUUGGGAGGGGGAUUCGCGGCGCGCUGCCGGCCGGAUGGACGGCAAUCUAGCGGCGGACCGGUUGUUUCAUGGGCCGGGACACUCUAGUUGUGAGACACACACAACUUCUCUGAGCCCUUCGGUAAUGGCCCCCCUCCUCAUGGGCCUGAAACGCAGGCCAAAAUUCAUAUCUAUAUUUGGGUCAGUAACCCGAGCAGUAAUUUGCAGAGUUCGGAAAGAACGAAUCCUACUGCAGUACGGCAGAAAAAAAUUUAAUGAAAAUGAUGAAAAAGGAAAAAAUGGACCAGAAUUCCAAGAAAAAAGAGCAGCAAAUGAAGUAGGAGCAUCUCUAGUUGUUUUCCAAUCCUCAUUAACCUCCAAUAUCUAUUUCGUCAUAUAGCGGAUGACCACAGGACCUUAUUUCCAAUAUCCCCCUAACAUGUGGGACCAACUCGUUAGCAGGUCAAUUUUUUUUACUUUCUCUCCUUUUCCUUGUUUUCUUUCUUUCUCUCCUCUCCCUCUCUCCCGCCUCUCUGUAAUCUUGACUAGGGAUGUACAGCCUAGUAAAGGAUGAUACUAGAUGGUGCGGGCACCCAUCCCCUAAAGGAUGAUACUAGAUAGUGCGGACACCCACGAGAGGGUGGCGAAACAUGACCCGUUAGGACAAUGGCGCGACAAUGGUGUGGGGCAGCUUGCAGCGGCAACGUGGGUAACAUUGAAGGGCGGGCUAGCAAAUGGGAGGACCGGCUUAGAAAAGAGUAAUAAGAGGGACGGAGGAUUGUCCGAUUUCUUUAUGUGAUAGUAAGUGGAUAAAUCAUGUGUUCUAGUUUCAAUUCAAACAAGGCCCCUAAAAGUUUAUGAAGCUUUGCAUCAAAAAAAAUAUUCUAAAGCCAAAACCAGCUCUUCCAAACGAUCGUCCUUGGCCAUGAGGUAAUCAAUGCGGGUACAUUUAAAGCGGCUGCAAGGUACAGCUUGCAGGCUCCCUUCUCAUGCUGUCUGCAUUUUAUUGUAGGCCCUGUUUAAUUCACCUCCAAAUUCCAACUUUGAUACUAUGAAAAAGAAAAUACCUCAUCACAUCAAACUUGCGGUACAUGCAUGGAGUACUGAAUAUAAACGAAAUUAAAAACUAAUUACAUAGUUUUGUUGUACUUUGCGAGACGAAUCUUUUGAGCCUAAUUAGUCAAUAUUUGGACAAUAAUUCACAAAUACAAACGAAACUACAGUAAUUUUGGUUGCCUAAAGUUAGGCACCUAAACAAGACCGUAGUUUUGGUGCUGGCGAGCUGCAGCUGCAGGCCUGCAGCGCAGCCCAAACAGUCCACGGGAAGGCAGAGUACCUGAACCUGCAAGACUACCCAAACCUGCUCCAGUGGUGGUUCGAAAUCUGACAACGCAGGCCUUGUUUAGUUCCUAAUUUGGGAGUGGUAAAAUUGACAUUUUACCAUAAAUGCGCAACUGUAGCGUUUCGUUUGUAUUUAUGAAUUAUUGUCCAAAUAUUGACUAAUUAGGCUCAAAAGAUUCGUCUCGCAAAGUACAACAAAACUGUGCAAUUAGUUUUUGAUUUCGUCUACAUUUAGUACUCCAUACAUGUACCACAAGUUUGAUGUGAUGGGGAUCUUCUUUUUGCAUAGUGUCAAAGUUGGAAGUUUGGAGGGAACUAAAUAUAGCCUAAAAUUGAGCACAGAAUCUCCACUCCAAAACUAGAGUGAACAUGCCCUCGUGCUCGUGCUCCCUCUCGUUGUGGCCCAUUUUCGUCGCCAGAAUAUCAGGGAAAUGUUUGACCAGAUACAGUGCGAGCGCACAGCUUCUGAAAAACGCUCUGGUCCAGAAGGAUGGGAAGCCGCCUUUGGCACAUCCGUGUCGACAAUAUUUGUUGGGCUCUCCAUUGUUUGAUUUGUCGUAGAAUCUUUGUUUGCCAAAUUCAUACAGUAGUCCAUGUAGUCUGGAUUCUGAGUUUUUGUUGCGGGUUAAUAGGUAAUUCUUUUUGUCAAGUUAAGCUAUGGUGAUGCUUCGACAUAUUUCAAGAACAAACUUUUUCAAAAUUUGCAGCAUUAUUUCAAAAUUUGCAGCAUUAUUUGGGGGCUUUAUUACUCAACUAAGUCUUACUUUAAAGUUUAAAUAUGUACUCCUCUCCUUUUUAAAAAAGAAAUUCGUAGAAGUUCCGAUUGUGCUUGCUAACUCUGUUUGCACUUUAAGCAGAAGCGAGUGUAGCAGUUGCAUAACCGAACAGAAGCGUGCCUUUGUCUUUUGUGUUGUACUAUUUCUUUUUCACAGUCGUGCAUAUCCCAGCUGACUUUAAGGUGCUCUUCUCUUACCAUUUUGUACACUUUCAUAUUUGUUUCUAUGAUGCGAAAGAAGUAUUGUAAAGAGCUGACAAAUGAAUUUCAAAUACAGGUGAAGCAAUCACUGUGUCAAAUAUUCCGAGCUAUUUUGGAAUAAAUUGUAUAGUCGCUACUGGCUAUCCGCCGAUCCCUACAUACGUAGGCCAUAAAUCAACUUAUAGCUUAAUUUAACGUGAAUACAUGUGUCCACAGUGUACCCGUACAACGUGUAUUUCUUUUUGAAAAAGAAGUGGCAGGAGUUCUGCCCUUCAUAUGUACUAAUAAAGGAGAAGAGCCAUGUCCAACAAAAUACAAGAGAGAGCCUAAGCUCGGUAAGAGGCCCAAAAAAAAAAACUAGUCACCCGCCCAAAAAA